ACGCACUUUCCUUCCUCCCGACUUAAAAGCUGAAGUGCUUCUCGUCUCGCCGUCUUUGCCGGAGCAGGCGAACCAGAGGGAGAGGUGGAGUCUAAAGAAGUAGCGUUCCAUCACUUUCAACUUGGUGACUGAAGUAAACAAAGUUCUUUAGGAGACAUGAGAGUUGCGCUGUGUCCCUGGAAAGCGGUGUAAGGAUGGGUGGACGCUGGGAAUCUCCCCCUUUUCCCGGUGCGAUCCUUUUUGUUGCUGAGUGCCCUCUGGAGGUUUCGGACACGCAGCGACCUGGGCUAUCGAGGCUGUGUCUGAGCUUUUCAGGACUCCUUGCUUCAAAGUUCUCGUUGGGGCUAAAGGGAAACUGCUAAAAUACCCUUUGAGCCUCUUCUUGCAAGAUAUAUCAGAGAUCUCAGGGGAAGCCUGUUAUCCUUAUUCUUCCAGCCAAGUUCUGUAGCCAGAGGAACUCUGGAUAACUUCACAGAUGAGUUUUUUGUGUGGGAUUCUGCAGCCCUUUAGAGGAGGGAGGGCUAUACCUGCACUGAACAGGCUGUGAAGUUUUUUUGCUGUCAGGACUGAAUUUUGUGUUCACCCAGUCAAGGAGUAGAAGCAUAUUCCAGAGAUGGAUUGCUUCUAAGUAAUAGACUUCUGAGUGUACAGAUUCAUAAAUGCCAUAAUGGAAAGACUAAAUGCCUGAACAUGCAGAACAGCUGGAUUCCAGCACUGGCAAUGCUGUUACGGAGGACUCCAGGCCUGAGAAACUCCUGUGAGAAACAUGAGGAAUUUAUCAGAGCAUGGCUCAAUCACAAAUUACAUGAGUUUGUUGAAGAGAGUGACACCUACAGCCCUGGGCCAAUCACAGACUGAUCAUGCUGCUGGCAAAGUUACAUUUUCUCUGAAGGUAUGUUGUGAGAACUGUGGUUGCUAUGUUUUACUCUUGGAACUUACAAGUGCUUGCUAAAUGGACUGGGUUUCUGACCAUUGAAGCCCCAAUAUAGCAUUAUAAAACACAGAAUAAUCAAGCCAACUGGAUGAAGUCCCCUAAAAAGUCUGUUUAUUACUAAAAAAAAAAAAUCAAAAAAAAUCACAUAGUUAUUUUCCCCCCCUUUUUAAAAAAUGAACAUGAUAGAAGCCUGGGAUUUACAGGAAAGUUUUGAAGUCCUGGAAUGUGUGUUUUAUUACAUGUGUGAUCUACAGUUCUUUAUGCAUGCAUUUCUCUAUUCAUUUCUAGUGCAGCAGAGGGCAAGUCUAACCCCACUCUUAGUUACAGCAGUUCAAUUCCAACCUCAUCAGUGAUAUUCAGGUUGAUCCAGAGCUGCCCUCUGACAGCUGUGGGAUUUACAUUUACAUGGGUGUUCUGGCAUGAUUUGGGAGUAAUACCAGGUUUCACAGAACUGUGAAAAAUAAUAAUAAUAGCACAUAAUAGCAGAGUGCUAAAUAAUCACAGUCUUCCAUGGUUCCUUGGGCCCACUGAGGUCCAAUCUUACCUUCCACUGCCAGAAGCCCUGGCUUCCCACCAGGAGAAUAAUCCCUGCAUUAAAUCCAGCAUUUCACCAAUGACUUCUGAUUUUGCAGGCUUCCUCUUUGCUGUUUUUAGCAUGGAUUUCCAGAUGCAGUAGCCCUGUUAUCCUGACAGAUUUUUAUUGUCAUGUCUAUGCUUUGCUUGUUGCAAAGUGAAAGCCUGAGCCCUCAAGGGCUGUGUGCUGGGUGUACAAGUCUCCAGGAUAUUCAGCAGGAAGAAAAUCAGGAAACAUACAUAGUUCUUUCAGUAUGAGAAUAAAUUUUAUUUAUUCUCAUAUAAAGAAUAAAUAUUAUUGAUAGCACUGAAACACCUAUGAUAGCAGUUUUAACUGAAAUAUGACAAAAUUUGAAGGGUCAGGAUCUGGACCCAAAUAUCUGGAAAUACUUGAAGGUUCUUUUCUUUUGAAAUUUUUUUUAAAAUAAUUUUUGUUGAAAAGAUUGUCUUUUCUGUGCAUGUAGUAUGGUGAGGUCUAUAAAAACUUGGUUCCCCAUUUUUGUGUUAAAUGUGCAUGUUAAGGGGUUUUAGUGGCACUGAGUCUAUUUUAUGUGUUCUUUAGAAAAUAAGACAUGAAGACUUUUAAAAGCUGUUGUUUUUCUUGACUUCACCUUCAUUAAUCUUAUUUAGUUUCUGUAAGAGGUUAUUUUGUGAGCUCCACCGAUGGGUAAUGUUUUCUUUUCCAAAGUUCAUGAUUCUUCUAUUCAAAUCACUAAUUUUCACUGUUACACUCCAGUGGUUUAGUGCUUCCCAGGCCUCUAGGAAUGAGUUUAAUUAGCAAUGCUGAAUAAAUUCUGAGACAUGAUUCAUCUUUCUUGUCACUUGGAUCUAAGUAACAAAAUUGCAAUUCAAAGAUGUACUUAAAAGCCCUGUGAGAAUAGCUUCUGGGAAAAGACUCAAAUGUAAAUUUGGAAAUGAGGAUUUUACCUGGCUGCUUGUUUUCAAUUUAGCUAAAAGAUAGAGGAUUCAUUCAUAUGUCCUUGAAUUCCCUGGUGUAUUGUUUUAAAAAUACUGAGCUGUACUUGGCACAUAGAUUCCAAAUUAAAGCUCUGCAUUUGGGCUUUUUUAGAUGAAAUAAUUGACUUGACAAAUUUCAAUACUCUCCUAGAUCUAAUGUGGUUUAACUUUUAUAGUGAUUUAAUUUUUAAUGUGAUUUAACUUGUCUCCAUAUUUGUAUAUUUUGAAUCGAAAAUACAGAAGGGAGAAUCUCAUUCUCCUGUGAUCCUAAAUGUUGCAGUGCAGAAGUCCAAAUUUUGCCAUGCCCCUUUCUCUGAAGCAAGAGAGGGUGUAUUCCUGAGGCAUAGUGUCACAAGGGGAAAAUAGGGAAUGCAGGAAAGGAAAGGAGUGAACUCAGGAAAGUGAUGUUUAAAUAUAGACCCUUGUUCCAGCAUGUCCCACCAGGCAGUGCCAGCAGCACAGAGAGAGCAACAGGAUUUUGCCAUGCUCUAUCUCCUGCUGUGCACCAGGAUCAGAGCAUUUCACACCAUCAGUGGAUGAGAACUUCUCCUCAAAACACCUGUGGGAAGAAUUAAAUGUAGUCUUCCAGAAUUUAUAAAAUUACUCUUAAAAGAGUAAUUAUAAAAUUAUACCCUUACAAGAAUAACUUGCCCUAGGAGAGCUGUAAGCCAAAUGAAGCUGAACUGCUUAAAUCACAGGUAUAAUUCUGAGACUACUUCCUCUACUCCAGCACAUGGAGCACUGUGAAUAAAAAAUAUGGAUUGUUUAGCACCUUUCAUAUGUAGGCACAAAGAAUUUAAGGAAAAAUUGUGGCUGUAGCCAGUUCCCUGGAUUUUGUCAGAUUCAAACAGAUCCUGAAUGUUAUUUUAAUGUAACCUUAAAAGAGCCCCAUGCUAUUAAUUUUGUAUUUAUUACAGUUGCACUGACCCUAAUGAAUUUUUUAAAAUUAAUUUGACAGAUGUCACAAAUAUUUUCAGUGCAGUUUAACAUCAUUGAAUAUAAGCUUUCCUAGAAAAGAAGUUCUAUGAAGUGAACAUAUGGCGAGUGCCAGUGUUGGAUUCUGGAAAGUCAUGGGUGUCCCAUGGGACUUAGAACACAAAAUGUUGGGGAGUAAUGUUUAUGGGGAAACUUUACAAGGUUCUCCCUCCCAUGUCUUGUCAGUACAUCUCACCUAGAAAGACAAGCUCCUCUAAAAGGGAAUCUGUGUAUUAGUUUAGGUAUUGUGUAUAGCUGAUUAUGCCUUCAGAACCAAAUUCAGUGACUUUAGGAACUUUUAUUCAGAUUUUUUUUUUUUUCUUUUCAUUUCUGUUACUUUGCUCACAUGUAAAAGCCAAGAGGGCUAAACAGAGACUCUGUAAAGGAAGGGUUAUUCCACUUCCUUGGAGACAUGAUCUUGUUUUAUGUGAAGCCUGCACUUUUUUUUUGCACCUGAUGGACCUUGUUCUGCUUGGAAGAACGACAAAGAAUAAAUCAUAGUUCCUUACCUUGUAUGUGAACUUGUGGAGCAGUGAAAAUACAGAGCUAUAAUCCAGGCCAUCAAAAAUAUAAAAUGAAUGAUUUGAGGACUGGAUUCUACUGGAUUCCAAUACUUUAUAAACUUUAGAGCAUUGGUAGUGUCCCCAUCUGGAAUAUAAAUAAAGGAAACCCUUCCAAAGGUUUAUAGGACUGUAUUUGGUGCUCUUUUAGUGCCCUAAUUUAUGAUUGUUGGAAAUUCACAAGCUGUGAAAUGUGUUGGUCACAGAGCUGAUGGCAAUAACUUCAGAAUAUGAAUGAGAGCAUCUGGGUUGCUAUUUACCUUUGUUACACAAAGUCAGCUUUUUAUCUUUGCAUCAUUUAACCCCAGAAAUAUGGCUGGGUUAGACAGGCAUGUGCAGCCUUCUUCUGUGGAACAGGAGAUUUGCUUUCUCUAACUUCAGUAAUUUCAUCUGUGAAAAAAUUUACCUUUU